UAACUAAUUUGCCAAUUGGCACAAUUUUUAUUUGAAAAAAUGUAUUUAUGAAAUUUUUAACAAAAUUUAAUUUUGCUCAUAUGAACAAAAUCUUCAAUACAAUUUUACGAUAAAAUGGUAUGUAACAGAAAUAAAAAUAUCAGCACUAGUCGAAUUGGUUUCAAAAGUUUUUACAAACCAUGAUUUCGUUGGCCUGUGUAAUUUUAAACAUGGAAAGUAUCCCUCACACGUGCAAAAAAAUUGUUAUUAUUUGUACCGUUAAAGCUAAAAUCGUGAGGGCUUCUCUGACAUUGUAUACAUCCAUUAAGAAGGUAUAUUUAAAAAUUCGACCGCUUAAGUGAUGAAAUUUGUAAAAGUUAGUUUAUUUCAGUUAUUGGUUUUGAUGCGUGAUGUUUCCUAUUUCAUAUGACCCAAAAAAUAUGUAAUGAAAAUUGGUGCAGUCUUUUAGACACUUAUAUGUUUAUAUGACUUUGUUUGUUGUUGAAGCAGCGGCACGUGUAAAGUCGGUGUAGCUGGGUUGACAAUCCUAGGUCUUUGAACUCGCGAGUCGUUCCGGUGCGAAGAACCGAAUGUCAUGGGAACGACUAUUUCGUUAAUUGCAUCCUGAAAGAAAUAAAUCAUUUGCAUUUUCAAUGAUUACUCACAAAAUUAUAAAUCCAAUUUACCUUAAAUCUUUCCUCGAAUAGUGAAAGUUCAGCUAAAAGAUCAGUGAUAGCAUUCAUAAACGCUUCAUGAGGAGAAUAAUCAGCCGUAGUUUGAAUACGAAUAACGAAUUUAUGUUCCAAAGGAUGAGGUACUUUGUAGCCGGCAAACAAAACAUUGGGAUCCUUUAACAAUUGACUACAAAUAAAUAAAUACAGUUAAUUGAUGCUUUAUAGUAUUUUUAGAAGUAUA